GGGCAGCAGGCGCGAGAGCUCCGCGGUGCGGGAGGCCGUGACGGGGCCACCCCGAGUGCCGCCCGAAGAGGGCGCUUUUUGCCCGGUGCAAAAAGCCGGGCGAAUGAGCGGGGGGCAAGUCUGGUGUCAGCCGCCGCGGUAAUACCAGCUCCGCGAGUGGUCGGGGUGCUUACUGGGCCUAAGGCGCCCGUAGCCGGCCCGGUAAGUCGUCCCUGAGAUCCACGGGCUCAACCCGUGGGCUGGGGACGAUACUGCCGGGCUUGGGGGCGGGAGAGGCCGAGGGUACUCCCGGGGUAGGGGCGAGUCCGAUAAUCCCGGGAGGACCACCAGUGGCGAAGGCGCUCGGCUGGAACGCGCCCGACGGUGAGGGGCGAAAGCUGGGGGAGCAAAGGGGAUUAGAUACCCCUGUAGUCCCAGCUGUAAACGAUGCGGGCUAGCUGUUGGCGGGCUUAGAGCCCGCCCAGUGGCGGAGGGAAGCCGUUAAGCCCGCCGCCUGGGGAGUACGGCCGCAAGGCUGAAACUUAAAGGAAUUGGCGGGGGGGCACCACAAGGGGUGAAGCUUGCGGCUUAAUUGGAGUCAACGCCGGAAACCUUACCCGGGGCGACAGCAGGAUGAUGGCCAGGCUAACGACCUUGCCGGACGAGCUGAGAGGAGGUGCAUGGCCGUCGUCAGCUCGUGCCGUGAGGUGUCCGGUUAAGUCCGGCAACGAGCGAGACCCCCACCCCUAGUUGCUACCCGAUCCUUCGGGAUCGGGGGCACACUAGGGGGACUGCCGGCGUAAGCCGGAGGAAGGAGGGGGCCACGGCAGGUCAGUAUGCCCCGAAACCCCGGGGCUGCACGCGAGCUGCAAUGGCGGGGACAGCGGGAUCCGACCCCGAAAGGGGGAGGUAAUCCCGUAAACCCCGCCCCAGUAGGGAUCGAGGGCUGUAACUCGCCCUCGUGAACGUGGAAUCCCUAGUAACCGCGUGUCACCAACGCGCGGUGAAUACGUCCCUGCCCCUUGCACACACCGCCCGUCA
rnacentral:rRNA from 1 species